GCCUCAGCUGUCUAGUGGUAUGAUUCUAGCUUUGGGUGCGAGAGGCCACGGGUUCGAUUCCUGUCUGAGAGCU
rfam:Nematostella vectensis strain CH2 x CH6 NEMVEscaffold_39_Cont6467, whole genome shotgun sequence.